AUACGGAGGAUGCGAGCGUCAUCCGGAUUUAUUGGGUUUAAAGGGUGCGUAGGCGGAAAGUUAAGUCAGCGGUGAAACGCAGGUGCUCAACACCUGACCUGCCGUUGAGACUGGUUUUCUAGAAUGCGGAUGCUGUGGGAGGAAUGUGUGGUGUAGCGGUGAAAUGCAUAGAUAUCACACAGAACACCGAUUGCGAAGGCAUCUCACAAAUCCGCGAUUGACGCUGAGGCACGAAGGUGCGGGGAUCGAACAGGAUUAGAUACCCUGGUAGUCCGCACAGUAAACGAUGAUAACUCGCUGUCGGCGAUAGACAGUCGGUGGCCAAGCGAAAGCGAUAAGUUAUCCACCUGGGGAGUACGACCGCAAGGUUGAAACUCAAAUGAAUUGACGGGG
rnacentral:rRNA from 1 species